rnacentral:rRNA from 1 species
AACGAACGCUGGCGGCGUGGAUUAGGCAUGCAAGUCGAACGGGCGCAGCAAUGCGUCAGUGGCAGACGGGUGAGUAACGCGUGGGAACGUGCCCUUCGGUUCGGAAUAACUCAGGGAAACUUGAGCUAAUACCGGAUACGUGCGAGAGCAGAAAGAUUUAUCGCCGAAGGAUCGGCCCGCGUCCGAUUAGCUAGUUGGUGAGGUAACGGCUCACCAAGGCGACGAUCGGUAGCUGGUCUGAGAGGAUGAUCAGCCACACUGGGACUGAGACACGGCCCAGACUCCUACGGGUGGCAG